GUGGAUGUAGCUCAGUUGGUUAGAGCGCUGGUUUGUGGUACCAGAGGUCGUGGGUUCGAGACCCAUCUUCCACCC
rnacentral:tRNA from 2 species